GAUGAAGAACGUAGCGAAAUGCGAUAAGUAAUGUGAAUUGCAGAAUUCAGUGAAUCAUCGAAUCUUUGAACGCACAUUGCGCCCGCCAGUAUUCUGGCGGGCAUGCCUGUUCGAUCGUCAUUUCAACCAUCAAGCCCCCGGCUUGUGUUGGGGACCUGCGGCUGCCGCAGGCCCUGAAAACCAGUGGCGGGCUCGCUGUCACACCGAGCGUAGUAGAUUUUCAUCUCGCUCAGGGCGUGCUGCGGGUUCCGGCCGUAAAAAGCCUUAUUUACCCAAGGUUGACCUCGGAUCAGGUAGGAAGACCCGCUGAACUUAAGCAUAUCAAUAAGCGGAGGA
rnacentral:misc_RNA from 1 species